UUAAAAUAAAAAUUUAUAUAAAAAUAUGAUUCAACUUAAACUUACUUUUUUUUAAAAAAAAAAUAAUAAUAAUUGUAUUAACAACUAAAGUAAAUGAUAAUUAGUGGUUUAAUUAAAAGAAGUUACGUAUUCAGCGGCCGGUUGUACACGGUUGAAGCAGCGGGAAGGCGAGAACAGAGUCCAUGAAUUGUGCAGGCAGAGCUUCCAGGUAAAGUCAAUCACGUUGAUGAUGGGGCCAAGAGAAGCCAUAAAAACCUAACAUGCAAGCAAUGGAUAGAUUCAUCACGUAAAGAUAGAGGCUAAGCAUAUUUGCUUUUUCCUCCUCUAUCAACUCCUCUACACUCGUCACUUCGUGUUUAUAUAACAAACUCCCUCCAACCAUAAAUGCUCACAAAUGAGAAGACAAAUAUGGAAAACCAAGUUCCACAGUCUAAAAAUCCUGAAUCCAAAGAAUCCAAACUCAUUAUCAUCACCGGUGAAUUUGUCAUCAGUCUGAGUCCCACGCUACGGAUUCCUGAUAAUUCAGUUGUUGUUCAGAUUUGCAGCGCCACUGAAGUCAAUACAGGCAAGUAGAGUUUUUACUUGCUGAUAUCAGAAUUUUUGCAUUUUGGUACUUGUAAUUCAAUAUGGUUUCUAUUUUUCAAGUACAGUAACCAAGAAAGGAAAAGUAGGCGAGAAAACAUCCCUCAAGCGGGGAAGUAACAAGAAAAAGAUGGGCAAACGAAUUGUAACAUAUACAAGAAAUUUCCGGGUUAACUCAGAGUUUGGAACCCCGGGAGCUUUCCUGAUAACAAACAAGCAUAAGCACAAAAUUUUCCUUGAAUCCGCCGCUCUGUAUAUUCCCAAACAAGACCCGAGUUUUGAUGGUGAGUACGAAGUUAUCCAUUUCUACUGUGGCUCAUGGAUAUAUCCGAUCAAGCUUGCAGUGGAUCCAAGGGUUUUCUUCUCAAAUACUGUAAGUUAUCCCUUCAUGGAAAAUUCCUUUAGUUUUCUCUCCAAUGGGAAUAAUAUUAUAAAAAAAAAAACUAAUUAAUAUGUUAUUGUACUUGAGCAAGUGUUACCUUCCAAAGGAAACACCUAGUGGUCUAUCGAGAUGGAGGAGCAAAGAACUCGAAAACUUGAGGGGAGAUGGAUCCGGGGAGAGGAAGGAAUGGGAAAGAAUCUAUGACUAUGAUGUAUACAAUGAUCUUGGUAAUCCUGAUAAAAGUGAUCAACAUAUUAGACCUGUUUUGGGAGCAUCUGAAUCAUACCCUUAUCCCCGUCGGCUAAGAACAGGUCGACCACCUUCCGUCAAAGGUAUACAUUCUCACCCAACAAUUUCUUUUAUACAAUAUAUGUAUAUAUAGAAUAUCAUAUAUGUUUUAUGAGUAGAUCCUUCAAGUGAAAGCCGACCAGAGUUGAUCAAUUUGGAUGUAUAUGUUCCACCCGAUGAGCGAUUGAGCCCAAAGAGAGUGUCAGAGUUGAUGUUAUGUGUAGUCCAGGCUACUGCACUUAUUCCUGAGCCUGAAUCCGCGAAGAACUCUUCCAGAACCUUCAAGGAUUUAAAGCAGCUGCAAAGGGAAUUGAUAAGUGAUAAGGACAAAAACAAGGCAAUGCCCAAGUGGGUAAGGAAACAACUGAAGCAAAUUGUAUCCAGAAAACUCUACCAACUUAUGAAAACUCAAACAAGGCAACAUAAGCCCCACAAGAAAUGUCUAAUAAUACCUUCUUUGGUCAAACAACAGCCGAACAGGUUUNNNN
rnacentral:lncRNA from 1 species